CGCACUAGCCGGGGAGAUAGCGGUGCCCUGUCACCUGCAAUCCGCUACAGCAGGAGUGAAUUCCUACACCCGGGCCUGUGUUGUGCUGCUGUCCGGAUAAGCGGUGUUGAGGGAUCGGUCUCACGCAACGGAACCCCGUGAACCAUGUCAGGCGGGGAACCGAGCAGCAUUAAGCGGCAAGUUCCGUGUGCCGUGGGCAGCCGUUCCUGAGCUGGCUGUCCGGGAA
rnacentral:SRP_RNA from 1 species